CGCCCUGAGGGGCAAGCGCCAUAGGCGUGAAGCUGGUGCCCGGCUGGCUGCCAGGGGCCCAGCCCCCAUGCGGAGGGUGCCCUGCGGCGGCCUUGGAACCCAGAAACAACUCGGAUAAGGGCACUGCUCCUGACCGUGGGCUGACAGUGGUGGGGAGCAAGAGGUAUGGCCAGAGAGAAGGGGACCCUGAGGUAGACAGAGCUGCAGCAGGCAGAGGUACACUCAAGAGUCAUCCCAUACUGCAGUCCUGAUAGCCAUCGUGACCUUCCUGACCGUCCAGGGCGGCAGCUACUCCAGCUCCCCAGGUACUUGCUGCAGUGGACCCUUCAUCCCAGUCAACUGCAGGUGAGACCCUGGCGAACUGUGAGGCCCCUGCAGGUCACGGGUGCCUCGAGCCCCACUUGGUCACUCAGGGAGCGGAGGGCUGAAGGAACAGGGACAGUACAGGAAGAAGCUGCCGCCCCUGGAGCAAGGGGCAGAAGGGAAGGGGUUGAUGUCACUGGAAGGCUAGAAGCCAGCAUGAGGGGCGUUGAACAUCCAGAGCCCCGGAUCUCUGAGGAGGGGCUGCUGCAAUCUCUCAGGGAAGGAGGGAGCAACAUCAUCAGCUACGAGGGGGACCAGGGCAGGAGGUGAUUUCUGAGGCACCGUCUUCCAGGUCAUUAACUCCUUCUUCAGUGGCAUCUACUUGUGGUUUAAUUAAUUUCUUGAGGUUUUUAUUCAAUGACUGUGCUUUCUUUUUUUAACUUCUAAAAUGCUUUUUCUUUUUCAAAUCUUUUCACUUUACUCGUAUCUUUGUGAUUCCCUCUUCUGUAUCUUUUUGUGUCUCUGGGGGCUACUGCAGAGUACCUUUAUAUCACUAAUGCAAACGAUUUGUAAAUAUCCAUGAGAACUGCUCUCUGAUCUCAGGAGAAUGCAAAGGUGAUGUCAGUCGGUGUUUCAAAGUCCCCGAUUAAGCACAAGAGUAGAAGGUGUUUCUCUUUCUCACCCUCCUCCUUUUGUUAAGUGCUGACCCAAGGCCUGGGGGAUAUUCACCUGGGCUCACCUCUGCCGCCUUCAGGACAAGCUGAUGUACCCCUGGCAGGCCCCGGGAAUCUCCCAGUGACAAGGGAGCCAGGCUGUAGAGCGUAGCCCACAAAGGGGGGAGAGGUCAGGCUUAGAGCCCAGAGUCCUCGAUCCACACCUGGCCUUAGCCACUUGCUAGCUAGUGAUUCAGAACAAGCUACCUAACCCUUGUGUGUCAUGUGGUCCUCAUUUCCUCAUCCAGAGAGUGAGGACAGCAUCCUACCAACCUUGUAGCGCUGUGGAGAGGGUGGGAUGGCUGAGCCCAGGCACAUAGCAAACCCUCGCAGCCAUUGCCAAAAAUGAUGUCAUCUGGCCUCUGACAGUUAUGGCCUGGGGAGGGGGUCGUUGACAGGGCCAGCCCUCUCUUUGACAGACCUGCUGAUUUUCCGUGAGGGCAGGCGGUGGCUUCAGUUGGAGAUUGCGGACCCGCCUUCAGCUGGGCCUCCGGGAGUCCUGAACGGGACGCCUGGGGUGAGGAGUCCUCUCCCGGGCAGGGUUUGCUCCCAGGAGCCCAGCAGUAGCAGCACGAUGGGGGCGCGGGGAGUGGGGGGGGCAGUUCCUCUGGCAGCCAGCGGUUGGCUCGCUGAAGCCUUUCUGCCCGCGGCCGGCCCCGGGAGGUAGCCCCUGCUUAAGGAUGACGUGGGGGCGGGGUUCUCCUCCUGCUCACUCAGACCCAGGCUGGGAUGGACCCACUUCUUUUCAUAUGCCUGUUCUUCCUUUCCACCGUGCAGGUGACCCUUCGAGAGCACUGGUUUUAGGUGGAUUCUCGGUUGUGCUGUCUCACCUUCUGAGGCCCAUUAACUCCGAGCGCCUCGGAAACCCAGCCCCUCCCCCCACCGUUUUCAAGGCUGUUUCCUCAUGGAUCUCCCUCGUGUCCCUGCACUGAAAUAAUAUAACUAGGCUCUUCUCGUUACACAUUUCCUUGUCUUUCUCCCAAACUGGACUGGCAUCCCUGGAAGGCAGGGGCUGGAUGUCUGAGAGGCACUGCUCCCAGUCCCAGCCGAGGCAGCAGCACCCCGCUCCUCCAACACACACACAGUGAUUUGGCCGCAGGCCGACCUACCAGCCUGGGUCCGCAAGGAAUUGACGGACCCAGCAAUUGCACUGGUGGCCGUUUAUGCCAAAGAAAUGGAAACGUUAAGACGACAGGAAAACCUGUACACGAAUGUUCUCAGCAGAUUCCUUUGCAGAAGCCUAAAAGUGGGAACAAGCAAUACGUUCUUCAGUGGGUGAACGCUUGAACCAACCGUGGCUGAUCCCCGCCAAGGACUAGAGCUGGCAAUACAAAGGAAGAACUAACUUAACUAUUGUUGAAACGUGCGACGAUUUGCUGGGCUCUCCAGGGCAUCAUGUGAGUGGAAAAAACAGCCCACCCCAGGUCACACACUGCCCGAUUCCAUUUAUGUCACGGUCUUCAAAUGACAAAAUUAGAGAGAUGAGAACAGAAUUCUGGUUGCCACGGUUGGGAGGAGGGAGGAGGCUGAGGCUAUGAAAGGUCCACGGGAGGGAUACUUGGGAGGACACACACUGGACACUGAUGUCAGUGGGGGUCACGCGCGUGCGUGACACACACACACUGAUAAAACCCGGAGCAGCCGUCAGACGGCACCAUAGGCAUGCCCGCGUUGGGGGAGCGGCGGCAGGGGCUGCGGCCCCUGGGACUUAGUUCCUUCAGAAUGCAAGUUCACAGCAAAAGCACGCAAGCUGCGCCUACUGGACGACUCCCGUGAUUCCGCACCGAGAGUCCACGCUCUCGGGGCGCGGGGGACGUCUGCCAGCUCGCAGAAGGCUGGGCCCCACCGCGGAGGAAGAAAGCGCGCGGGGGCGGAGCCGAGAGGGGCGCGCACGCGGGCGGCUUGUUUUGAUUGGACAGAAGAGGGGCCCGUCACGCCACGGGGCCGAGAUACCUCGGUCACCUGGAGGCGGGUCUAGUCACGAGUCGAGCUUAGUCAUUGGCGGAUCUAGCCGGAAGGGGUGGGCAGGAAGGCGGUGCUCCGUGGUUUCCGGUGGGUGCGCUGAAGGGAGGUGAGGAGAUAGACGCGGGGGCGGUGCGGGUGGGGCCCGGCGCGGCGGGACGACGCCCGGGCCUGCUCGUCAGCGCCCUGGGGCUUUGGACUCCGCCCUCGGCUCCUCUGAGUCCUGGGCUGGGCCAGAGUCCCGGUUCCCCGAGACCCCGGGGGUCUACGCCCUCUCCGGGGGAGAGGCGGAAGAGAAGCCUCCUCAGAGUCCAGGCCCCGGGAGACCUGAGGGCGCCCCUCUCGCCGCUCCUGGCAGGACUCCCACCACUGUCCCGAGGGUGUCUGGCCCUCUAGGUGGCCGGGGAUCGUGUAUUGGGGUCCCCAGGGGCCUGGUGAGUGGGGAGGGAGGGCAGAUGGCAAAGGGCACGGUCUCCGGCUCCCCCCCCCCCGCUAGUCCUGGCCUCUGAGGGCGGCCUUACUCCGCACUUCUUGGAGCUUCCACCCUCCCAGAGCUCAGAAUGUAGCACUCUCCCCGACCCACACACACCCUUGCCCGGCCCACUGUGUUCCAGCGCCCCUGAGUGUGACUGGGACGGCUCUGUGAAGCAUGGAUCCUCCCUCCUCCACGCACAUAUACACACACAAGCUAGUAUCCAGGGAGAGGUGGGCAGAGCUGGGGCCAGUACCCAGAGCCAUGGUAUCUGCCAGAGGUGCCUGUCCAGGCUUCUGGAGGUAGGGUCGUGAGAUGGGCAAGAAGUAACAAAGUCUUCCCCAUGUCACUUGACAGGUGUGGCUUGCUGGGAGGGAAUCCUGCCCAAGCACGCCUGUUCUCCAGGACAACCUGUGGUUGCAGCCAUCAGCCAUCAGUGCCUGCCUCUCUGCCUGCCUGCCUCUCACCUGGGGAGGUCAAGGCGAACCCCGCAGAGAAAGCUCGUGGCUUCUCGAGGAGUGGGCACGAUCAGGGACCAUCCGUCCUGGUGGUUCUCACGCUGGGCCUGGGGAC